AAGCUCUGAAAAUGCUAAACAGUGCAUUAGAAAUGAAAUAGCAGAGUAACUCCCAUGUCUCAGCCUCCCAUUUCCUAGCAUGGAUAUGCCUGCCUCAUGAACAAUGUCAGGCACAAGGGCUUGAGUAAGCUAUACAAACACAGUUAUACAGGUCAGUCCUGAACACUUGAACUCUAGCCAUGGAAGAGCUACACGCUUGGAGACUCUCACCUUAGACAGUGGCAAUAUAUGUUUAUACCUGCAGCCAGACAUUACCAGCACCUGUCUCUCACCUCCCAGUCCAGAACUUCUGCGAACGGAACUUGUGAGAGUGGGUCUGAUCUUCAAAUUGUGAUCUUGUGAUGAGACAUUUAUACUUGGUAUGUCAGCAGAAGAGAAGCCAUCCGGGCAAGGAUUCAGGCCAAUUACAAUGCAUUUCAGGUUUUAAUAAAAAGCAGACAUCCCCUCCUUUCACCCUCUGUUCUCUGAAGUAAACUGAUUUCCCAUAUGUUCAUGAGCUAUGCUCUUCCCUUACCAGUCAUUCCUAAUGAACUUUUCAAUUUAUACAUAAGCAAGGCAUUACUCCUUCUCCCUUGCAUUGGCAUUCCCUUAUGUUUGUUUCUGGUUCCUAUCAGGAGGGAUUUCUGAAGAAUCAACCCUUUUUAGUCACUCUAAGUGAAAAUAAAACCAUAUACUGUUUACCUUGGAAUGUUAAAAAAAAAAAAGCAGUGUCAGACUAUAUUCUGUGGAUUUACAUACAUUUUUAAAUAACUGAGAAAAAAUACAGUCAACAUUUUAAAAAGUUAUCACUACUUGGGAUUUGCCCAGCAGGAAUACAAGAGAUACCUGAACGUUUUCUAGGAUGUUAGCUCACCACUGAAUUCAGCUUAUGGUAACCUCAUAAAUGUUGUAAACCAAAUUAGAAAGAAAAAUGCAUCAUACCUGGAGAACAAGGGUACUAUAUCUCUGUAUUUUUUCCUAAUAAACAUGAGGGAAAAUUGAAUGAGAAUGAAUCUUUUAAAGUUUGAAAGUCUCUGAGGAAACAUCUUCCUUCGUACAAGUAUUUGCUUCUGUGCUGUGCCGAUUACAGAAGCUACUAUUGAAGUCCAUGCUUAGGGAGAUAAAUUUCAGGAAUAUUUAGCUCUUAAAAAUUCAGGAAGUAUAAUUUAAAAUUACUCUAAAAAUAAUAAUUUUAAAAACAUAUUUUAUUGAAGUUCGGCCUAAACUUGUGUGGAUGUGAGAGACAACGUAUUUGACACAGAGCAUCGUAGGAGCUGCCAGCUUCUACCUAGUUGUUGGCAACACUAUUUCAAUUAUUUUUUCCAGUGAAGCCAGACCCUUUCAGACUUUAAAGGUUUCUUUUUUUAAUGCUCCAGCAGAUCUGAACAUGAUCAAUGUCCACAGAUGGGAUCUUGAUAGAAACAAAGCUUUUGAAGCUUGAAAAUCAGCCACAGCCAGCUUACAGCAGCCAAUGCUAGCCUGGCUCUGAGGAUACUUGUGACCAGUAUUCUAACUUAAAAGGAGCUUACAUUUUCAAUCAAAACAACAUACUUGUCUACUGGCAAAGCAUACCAACAUUUGAAAAGAAGUUAAAUUUUAAAACUUGGACAACCAUUUGCAGGAUUUAUAAAACCACAGCUGAAUUUACCAGUAAAUCUGCAAGAACUGUACACACACACACACAGAAUCCCACCCCAUUUAGUGGCAUAUGGCAUAGUAGGAAUACUUCAUCAUGUGGCAUGGGAUUUUCAUUAUAAAAUAAUUUGAAAAAUAUUACAGACACGCAAAUUAACAAAUAGUUUUUUCCCCAGAUAAAUCUCUUUUGAUAGAAAUUUUCUGAUCACUUUUGUUCAGCAUCCUUGCUAGACCUAUGGAGUCAUAUUCCCAGUUUCUGAGGUUGUGCCUUAAAAUACAGUUUAGUCUUUUGGAUGUGACAACUGAUCAGGAUUUCAGAAUGCUAUACAACAGCUACUGCUUCCCAUGUAACUUUGGCAAAAUAAAGCUCCAUACGCAACUAACUUGUCUGAAUAGACACAAGGUGUCAUUACUGUACCCUGCUGCAAUUGUCCACUUCUGAGCGAGUCAUCCACUUACAUCUGAGCACAUGAUCUAAGCCUGUUCUUCUCCUCCUAAAGCAAAACUCUGAGAAGGUCAGAAGAAUCAUGGCCUAAAGGUACCUUUUUUUAACUAACUGUAGAUAGCCAUGGAUGACCAGCUUAGAUUAGACUCAGAUAAAAGCUAUUAAUUUACCCAGAUAAAUUCCAAUUCAAUUAAAAAAAAAAAAAUCUCUAUGUUCCUCAAAACAGCAUUAUCUACGCAUUUCAAAAAGUAGCAUGCCUGUAUCCUGAUAACACCAUUAUAUGACAGGGAAAUAUCUCUCUUUGUGCUAUUUAUGGGCAUCUGAGGCCCACAGGCUAAGUCUAUACUUACCCACAGCCAUAUUUUUGUGAGCAGUGAAAACUUGGUGUGAAUUUUUGC